AUCGCUCCUUGGCCUUUUGGCUAAGAUCAAGGGUAGUAGUCUAGUACCUGCAAUCAGUUUAAUAUGGGAUCCGUCCUCUCCCUGAGGACAAUAUAUUAAAUGGAUUUUUGGAGCAGGGAGAUGGAAUAGGAGCUUGCUCCAUCCGCUCCACGCAUUGACCUGCUAUUGUAGUAUCUCCAGGAGAGGGGCACCUCCC
ensembl:snRNA U2 U2 spliceosomal RNA